GGAGACGUGGCCGAGCGGUCGAAGGCGCUCCCCUGCUAAGGGAGUAGGCGGGAAACCGUCUCGAGGGUUCGAAUCCCUUCGUCUCCGCCA
rnacentral:tRNA from 1 species